GGGGUCCCAGUGGGACAUGUUCAGUUAUCUGCUUGUGUCAACUGAACAUUUGGCACAAGUGGGGAUUUCAGCACAUGGUGAGGGACUGUCCUUAAUGCCCUGUACUACAAUAGAACUAAUUGAAGAGAUUGUGUUGGUUUAAAAGUUGUCAGAACUUCCAUCUUUCUAUUUAUUUUAGUUUGAUUCUUAAAAUAUUUUUAUUCCAUAUACAGAACUUUCUUAAAAUACAUAUAUUUUAUGACUUAUAUUUUUUUAAGAAACUAAAACAGAUUUCAGUGAACUCACCAUAAUCAAAAUAUGUAGUGAAUACAGUGUGAUGGAAAAUAUAUGGUUACAUAGCUGAAAAUACAAAAAAAAAACCAAAAAAAACCAAAACCUGAAGACCACUUAUUUUACCUGUAAGAUGGUAUCAGGAAGCAAACAUACAGAAACCUUGGCAUGUGGUACAUGUUGGCAGUUAUGGGAUGCUGAAAAGUCACAAUGGAAAUGAAAUGGAAUAGAUGUCUUUUUUAAAGAUCCCAUGUACACCAUAUCUGUAGCUUUUACUACUAUGCCACUGGCAUAGAAGUAAACGCAAAGAUUAUUAAACAAAAUAUAUAUCUAAAACAACAUUUUAUUUGUGCCUUUUGUACAAUUCAGCUGGUGUAAUAUAAAUAUUUUACUAAUACAUAAUAUCUCUCUAUAGAUCGCCCCCCACUUAUAAAAUAAAAAACAAAAAUAUAUUAAUUCAAAAUAGUUUUACAGUCUACUUUAGUAUUUUAAAAUAAAGAACUUUUAUUAUUUGGGCCAACACCAUAUUUGUUCCUUACUUUCUGGUCUUCAUAGCCUACGCUUAUGUGGUUGAGCAAAACCAUAUCUUGCUAUGUUUCACAGGAGUGUAUUUUUAUUUACUCCCACAAGAAUUGUUUACAGUGUGUACUAUUGUUGCUCUAUUUCUCUUUUGUAUAUACAGAGAGGACCUGUACCCAGGGAGCCACUGCAAGGGCUCCUGAAUAUGUGAGUGAGCACAUUUAUAUUUGGGAUUUAUUUCAAAUUCCUUCACUGCAUUAUUUUAUUCUGCACUCCCUUUGUAUUUCCUAGAGAAUACUAAGCGAGUAAGGACCAUCUAUGGAACCAACACUACACCAUAUCCUUAGGCAGUGAUCAUUCCAACCAAAUGCUCAAGAUUGGAGCUGGAUUGAAACUUCUAGAAAUUGUAAGUGGACCUUUUGUUACUUUGAUUAUUCACCAUCCUUUUCAAGACAUACUACACUAUUAGUUCCUCCACUCUUCUUUCUUAUUAUAGCAUAUAAUUUCCAAGGACAAUCCAGAUGCUAUACCCAUCUUCUUUGGUUUUAUCUGACUUUGCCUUCCCGCAUAAGACAGACACCAAACUUGGUUGUUAGCUGCCAGACGGGACUUAAUUUGUAUUUAUUUAUUAUUAUGUUUUAUUAUAAUGUUGUUUAUGCUGUUUGUACAACUAAACUAGCAUAAUAUAGAUAUCUCAUUGCAUUCCUUAUAAAGUGAAAUAAGUGAGCUUAUUUAUUGAACAGUCCAAUCAUGUUAUAUUUCUUAGAUUAGUUUUUUUUGUUUCUGUCGGGGAUAGUGUUGAACUUUGUGUUCUAGCACAUUUGCUCACGUCUAUUUUAAUAAAAGAGAAACAUGUACAAAUUUCUGUUUAAUUGAUCAUCUAAAUCAUACCAUGAUAUAAUGUAGGCCUUACUUUUUAAUUUACCAUAUAACACAGCAUUUCCCCAAAUGUAUUGCAGGAAAUUACUUGCGAUCGUGUUGUAACUCUCAAGCAACAUCCCACUAAUUGAAUACAUUGGAACACAUUUUCCGAAGGUCAUCCAAACCUGGCUUUAAAAUAGUCCAGUAAGAGCAAAUGCAUUUCCUAAUCAACAAUAGAGUGCAUGGCGUUGUAGGGCUAAUUUGCACAACUCAUCUUUGGAUAUACAUUUACAAGGCGAUUGUAAUUGAAGGCAUGUUUUAUUUCUCAGUGUAAGGUGAGAGAUGGCACUUAAACAGAGCAAACCUUGGCCUUUUAUGACUUUUAACACUCUAUGAAAACAGGAUUUUCAUUUUAUGGAAAGAAAUAACAAGCUUUUUGAAUCGAACAUGUUUUAUGUCUUGGUAAAACAAAAUAAAAUAAAUUCUAC